UACAGAGGUCUCAAGCGUUGUUCGGAUUCAUUGGGCGUAAAGGGUGCGUAGGCGGCGCCGUAAGUCGGAUGUGAAAUCUCAGGGCUCAACCCUGAAACUGCAUUCGAUACUGCGGUGCUCGAGGACUCGAGAGGAGAUUGGAAUUCACGGUGUAGCAGUGAAAUGCGCAGAUAUCAGGAGGAACACCGAUGGCGAAGGCAGGUCUCUGGGCCGAUACUGACGCUGAGGAGCGAAAGCGUGGGGAGCGAACAGG
rnacentral:rRNA from 1 species